rnacentral:lncRNA from 1 species
AGGUGACAGACUAUACCAGAGAUAUCGAAGAGAUGCAAAACGUUUCCAGAGAGGAGUACCUGGCCUCUCUUCGAAGGCAAGAAGAACAACGAGCGAGAGCUCCUUCUCGUCGUGAAUCUCACUCGAUGCCUUUGUAAUUCUCCAGGAAAAGCAGUGGAUUCUCGCGAGGAGUGUCAAAGUACCGCGGAGUUGCGAGGCACCACCACAACGGGCGAUGGGAGGCUCGGAUCGGCCGCGUGUUUGGCAACAAGUAUCUCUACCUGGGAACAUACAGUAAGUUUCCAACACUUCCAAGAACAAAACGAAGAACUUACACUAUUGUUUCGUCCAAAGGCACGCAGGAAGAAGCUGCCACGGCCUACGACAUGGCCGCGAUCGAGUAUAGAGGCCUCAAUGCCGU